UACGUAGGGUGCAAGCGUUAAUCGGAAUUACUGGGCGUAAAGCGUGCGCAGGCGGUGAUGUAAGACAGUUGUGAAAUCCCCGGGCUCAACCUGGGAACUGCAUCUGUGACUGCAUCGCUGGAGUGCGGCAGAGGGGGGUGGAAUUCCGCGUGUAGCAGUGAAAUGCGUAGAUAUGCGGAGGAACACCGAUGGCGAAGGCAAUCCCCUGGGCCUGCACUGACGCUCAUGCACGAAAGCGUGGGGAGCAAACAGG
rnacentral:rRNA from 1 species